CUUAUAUAUGAACGGUCAGCUUCGGCUGGCUAUGGCGAUAAACGGUCGGCGUAAUAAACCAUUCGGACCCGGGGGCGGUACCCGGCGGCUCCACCAGGUUUCAGUCGUAGGCGGCAUGACUCUUGCUGCAAAAACGUUGGGUCUUGCGACAGAAUUCGAGACCGGCUGAAACGUGGCGGGGGCCGAAAUAGGAUCGACGAGGGUGUAAAGGUCGUACUUUCGCUCGGCAUGGUAUCCGCCGUUAUCGGGCCAAACCUUAUAGUUGCCAACGACAACUAUGCGGAGGCACGUCUCGCUGCGUAAUGCGGCGCGAUAGCCUAAAUUAAAGCCCUAGCCUCCUCGCAGAGGUUAGGCGCGGUUUCGGAGGGCACCGGGCAACAGAAGCCCUCCACUU
rnacentral:tmRNA from 1 species